rnacentral:tRNA from 2 species
GCCGACGUGGCGGAAUGGUAGACGCGCACGCUUCAGAAGCGUGUAGGAGCAAUCCUGUGAGAGUUCAAGUCUCUCCGUCGGCACCA